ACGCUGGCGGAAUGCUUUACACAUGCAAGUCGAACGGCAGCAUAGAGAGCUUGCUCUCUGAUGGCGAGUGGCGAACGGGUGAGUAAUAUAUCGGAACGUGCCUAGUAAUGGGGAACAACUAGCUGAAAGGUUAGCUAAUACCGCAUACGACCUACGGGUGAAAGCAGGGGAUCUUCGGACCUUGCGUUAUUAGAGCGGCCGAUAUCUGAUUAGCUUGUUGGUGGGGUAAUGGCCUACCAAGGCGACGAUCAGUAGCUGGUCUGAGAGGACGAUCAGCCACACUGGAACUGAGACACGGUCCAGACUCCUACGGGAGGCAGCAGUGGGGAAUUUUGCACAAUGGGGGAAACCCUGAUGCAGCCAUUCCGCGUGAGUGAAGAAGGCCUUCGGGUUGUAAAGCUCUUUCGCAAGAGAAGAAAACUUGCAAUCUAAUAUAUUGUAAGCAUGACGGUAUCUUGAUAAGAAGCACCGGCUAACUACGUGCCAGCAGCCGCGGUAAUACGUAGGGUGCAAGCGUUAAUCGGAAUUACUGGGCGUAAAGCGUGCGCAGGCAGUUUUAUAAGUCAGAUGUGAAAUCCCCGAGCUCAACUUGGGAACUGCGUUUGAAACUGUAAGACUAGAGUGUGUCAGAGGGGGGUAGAAUUCCACGUGUAGCAGUGAAAUGCGUAGAGAUGUGGAGGAAUACCAAUGGCGAAGGCAGCCCCCUGGGAUAACACUGACGCUCAUGC
rnacentral:rRNA from 1 species